rnacentral:rRNA from 1 species
UACGUAGGGUGCAAGCGUUGUCCGGAUUUAUUGGGCGUAAAGAGCUCGUAGGUGGUUAGGUAAGUCCGAUGUGAAAUCUCCAGGCUCAACCUGGAAAUGGCAUUGGAUACUAUCUAGCUUGAGGAGUGGAGGGGGGACUGGAAUUCUCGGUGUAGCAGUGAAAUGCGUAGAUAUCGAGAGGAACACCAGUGGCGAAGGCGAGUCCCUGGACACUUCCUGACACUGAGGCACGAAAGCUAGGGGAGCAAACAGG